rnacentral:lncRNA from 1 species
AAGGACGUCAAGGCGCGCGGUGGCGUGGACGGCAGUAUUUGUGGCUGGUGAUGCGGUUUCUGGGUCUUUGCGAUCCCUUCCUCGGUCCCUUCAGUAUCCGCUGCCAUCGAAGACCCCAGGCAGCUUGCGCUCUUUGAUGAGGCCGGGUUAAGAGUCUUGGGGUCGCUGUUCAGCGGCAGGAGUCGUGAUCAGAUGACCGAUCCCACAAAGUGGGAGAAGAGCUUACAGCCACAGCAGCUCUUCAGGAAGAUGUCAUGGCUACCUUGUUAG